UACGGGGGGAGCAAGCGUUGUUCGGAUUUACUGGGCGUAAAGGGCGCGUAGGCGGCCACCGCAAGUCGACUGUGAAAUCUCCGGGCUUAACCCGGAAAGGUCAGCCGAUACUGCGGGGCUAGAGUGCAGAAGGGGCAACUGGAAUUCUCGGUGUAGCGGUGAAAUGCGUAGAUAUCAGGAGGAACACCGGUGGCGAAGGCGGGUCUCUGGGCCGAUAUUGACGCUGAGGAGCGAAAGCGUGGGGAGCAAACAGG
rnacentral:rRNA from 1 species